CCGCCGCCGCCGUUGCUGUCAGCGCUCGAGUGAAGAGUGACAGCGCCGCAAGAGCGGGAGGGAGCGCCGAACCCCGCGAACCUACGAAACAGGUGCAUGCGCCGAUCUCCUGGCCAGUGGACCCAGCUCGCAAGGUUGCCAUUCAUGAGCCCGAGGCUGUGAGAAAUGCUCGCUGUGCAAAGGGGAGCUCUCACCAGAUUCUCUGAAGCUGUCCUAGAAAUACACUUUUCAGAUUGAUUCAGCUUUACCAGCUUAUCCAACAAAAGUAUUAACAUAUACAUUAACAACGUCGAAAGUAGCCUACUUUAAGAGAAAAUAUGCAGAAGAAGAAGAUUUACAUCAAGAUUACCAUGGGUAUUUUCCAAAACACCUGAUAUUGCCUGAGGACAGGACUUGCAUUCUCAAACUUUCUCUGGAGAAGCUCAGGUUUCUUGAAGACCCAGAAACCUACUUAAGAAGGUCUGUGUUAAUUAACAAUUUGCUGAGGAAGAUACAUCUAGAGACGGAGAAAGAGAGCUAUGAAUACUUUAAAGAAGCUCCCUGUUAUAAGACUGCUUAUUCUGAUACAAGAAAACGGCUGAAGUUCAUGGUACAGGAAUGCUGUUCUCAGUCUCUUUAUUAUGAAGAGCUGCAUUCAUAUCAUAUUGUGCCUUAUGCUUCGGAGAAUGCCAUUUAUGGGAUGGGCUACACUAGCAGCCACUUGGAGCAAAAUUCUCAGUUGCUUAUUUAUAAAAUGAAUUAAAGUAACUGUUAAGUUCAUUGAUACUUUGUUUCUAAAUGCCUGACCUGUUUUAGUGAAGAUAUUGAAAAAAGGCACUAAUUACCAGUGCACUUGAGAUCAAAGAUGGCAUGCACGCUGAACUGAGUGGAAAGAACCCUGGUUAUUACUCGGCAGUCCUUAGUAUCGUCCAAAUUGAAGCUAUGUCCACAUAUUAUAAAGCAGCAAAUAAGUGCUGUAAAGGCAAAGAUUUUUAUGUUUUUUUUUCUUAAAGAUAAGAUGAUGUGUACAAAGGGACCUAUGUCAAGGUCUCAUGUGAAUUUAAACUUUUAAGCCCCCGUUUCCAAAUUCUGCCAUUCCUAGUGGAAAGUGACAAAAUGUGACCCUGAACUGACAAUGCAGGAUCCCUGAAUAUUAAGGGUGGAAUGAAUUUACUUUUCCGUAAAUGAUGAGGGGAAGAUAGGCUCUUUCUGAAAAGUUUUGGCUUGUCAAGCAUUGUGCCAAAUAAUUGUUUGACACCAUUCUCCUUCUAUGGUUUGUGGCAAUUUAAGAUGAGGCAAACAUAUUGCAACUUAACUGCUGAAUGUAACAACCAGAUUACUCCAAACUGAUCCAUUUUUUUUGUUUUGUUUUAUACUUUUGGCUUGAUAGACAUUUAUCUUUUAAAGUAAAAUUUAUUAAAAUGAGCCUUGCAGAUGGGCUUAUCUCUGAGUUCUAGAGGUCAUUUAAAAUUUGUGGUUGGUCUUAAGGGUUUAAAUUUAAUUUAUGAUGUCAUUUUUAUAGGCUGUGAAGCUCAGGAAAAGGGUAGGCAGGUCAAUUUGUUUUAAUAGCUUGACAAUUAAAAAAAAUCUUAUCUGCAAAAAUUAGUGAAAACCACAGAAAUUCUACAUGAUGUUAUUUCUUCAUCGAAGAGUACUUUUAAGGCUGCCUGGACGAAACUUGCACUGAUUUUUGUAUAAUAGUUGACCAUUCACUAUUUGACAAAAUGUAUCAGAAUGCUUUUGGUGGUGAAGUUUAGAUAAGUCCCUAUAUUUUGCAAUUUGAAAGAUAAUUAUUUAACAAGUUGGAUAGUUUCCUGAAAUUAUUUGAAGUGGUUCAUAACGUUCUUUGAGGUUUGAGUGAGAUGUCUGAUUUCAGUGUCCAGAGUCAUGUCCUAUGGAGCAUAUCAUUCAAAGAACUGUCAUUAACUGAUAAAACAGAUUGGGAAAACUAGGUGCCAAAGGUAUAUUCAAGAAAAUACCAAAGACCCAAAGAUGAGUGUUAGAGAGACUAUGAUAAUGAAGGUAAGAGUCUAAAAUAAGGAUUCCACAGGACACAGAAGAACAUUGUUAAAGGGUUUUGGAACUAUGUGCUUACUAAUGUGCUUUCACAGCACUUUAUACAUAAUAGUGAUAAUCAAGGACACUGCUUUAAACAAAGAUACUACAGGCCUUCGGUGAUCGUAUGUUUUCACAAAUCUAACUAUGGUGAUUUGUCAACAUUGUACCUUCCCUAGUUGAACGCCGUCUUGUAACCAGGAAGUCCUUUUUUUAUUCAGGACAAUUUUGUUCUUAGUUUUGAUUUACUAUGUGUUCCUUCUAAUGAAUCAUCAGGUGAGUCACAUGAAUGUGUUUGGUAUAAAGAUUAUUGGCACCCUAAUUAGCAUGUGUUGUUGAAGAUUCUAUAGAUCUAUAACUGAUAAAAGUAUCAGGUUUGUUUUUAAUUGCUCAAUUAGAAUUUGUAGAAAAUACUUUAGAAA